UGGCUCAGAACGAACGCUGGCGGCAUGCUUAACACAUGCAAGUCGCACGGGCACCUCGGUGUCAGUGGCGGACGGGUGAGUAACGCGUAGGUAUCUGUCCUGAGGUGGGGGAUAACCGUGGGAAACUACGGCUAAUACCGCAUGAUGACUAUGGUCCAAAGCAGCGAUGCGCCAUGGGAGGAGCCUGCGUUCGAUUAGCUAGUUGGAGGGGUAUUUGCCUACCAAGGCUGCGAACGAUAGCUGGUCUGAGAGGAUGAUCAGCCACACUGGG
rnacentral:rRNA from 1 species